CUCCUCCCCCAAUUUUCGACUUCCCUCUUCAAUUGAAACCCACCAUAAGAGAAAAGUUGUUGUUUCAUUCCCUCUAUUUCCAUUAUUCAGUUGUCAUAGAAAGAAAAAAAUAAACUCGAGCUGAAAACACAGUCUAUCUGAUUCGACUCGACGGAGAAGGCGGCGACUCAUAACAGUCACCGGAUUUGAGAGAUUCUGGGUUCAACUCGUAGUAAGAUAGAAGGUUGAGGAGUCAAUAACUCCAAAAUCAGAACUAUAGAAGAUGCGGACUUUCAGCUGGAGGAUAGAUCUGGGUCUCGAAUUAACACGUCAUGUACAAGCCAAAUGUUUGUUUAAAUCGUCGUCUCGUCAAUUAUGAUGAUUCCGGAUUCGGGUUUCAUGAUGGAGAACGAGGCGAGUUGCUUACCGCACACACCGGAGGAGGAGUAGCAGAUCAUUGAUGAAUUAAGCGGUCAAUCCAAAGCCAAUGUCAAAGCAGGCAACUUGUUCUAUGUUAUUUCUAACAGUGGUACUCAAGCUGCAUUGGUGGUAUCUCACUGAGGACAACCUGCAUGAGGGUGCUGACUUCUUAUAUUCCAAAGGUAGAGUAUAAUGUGUGUUUGUUCUUGUUCCCUCUAUCACUUUCAUCUUGUUAUUUAAAUUAUCGGUUAUCCUCAUGUUUUGUGUCAUGUUAUUUCUUUUCCUGUAUAAGUACUAGUUUUGUGAUGGGGAAGUUCAUCCUCUAGUAUAACCAAAAUAGACAUUGAUAUGUUUAAAUAUAGAUUCUCAUCUAGAACGUAGAGAUUCCAUGAUAAUAUUAGUAUUUUAACGUUUGAGCUAUAUGUUCUAAGCUUUUUUCAGCAUUUUCUUAUACCAUCUUAUAGUUCUGAGUCCAGUGAACUUGUGAUUCCCAACUAAUUUUAUGGUUAAGACACAGUUUAAUAUAGCUCUCGAGAUUCUUCUCUGUUUCAGUAAAACGGCAUUCCUUUUCACUUUUUGAAAUUCAAUCAGAUUAUAGUUAUGACUCUUGACAACUUCCUUGCUACUGGGUUGAAUGUUUUGUUACUCGGUGACUUCCAACUAUUGUCGGGUUUUGCUAUUUCAUGUCAUCAUAUUGGUAGCCUCUAGUUUGUCUAUGGUCAAUGUACUGCUCUCCUUCUAUGAGUUCAAUUGAUAAUGUUCAGUUUCUUGCUUUAGAACUAAAAUGAUGUAUGACUUGUGUGAUUGUUAAAAUUCUGACCAAGUAAUGCAUGAUGAUUUGAAUCUUAUCUCUUUAGAGUUGAUACUCACAAUAGGCAUUAUACUUUGGACAUUGUACUAAAAGUUUGGACAUUUGGUUCCUGGCACUCAUGCAGAUCAAAGUCUCCUUUGGAUAAUUGCAAGGCUUAAUGAUUGUUAAUUAUUAUAUCAAGAAAGGCUAGCUGCACCUUGAAACACCUCUUCAACUCUUUUCCGUUACAAAAGGAGCACAGCGGCCAUAUCUGUAGUAACUUGGAGAAGAACAAGCUCAAAUGGUUCACUUCCGAGUAUGCUUGUUGAAAAAUCGACAAGUGGAUCAUUAUUGUUAAGGGUUGGAGAAAAUGAAAACAUAUGUGCAGCAAUAUCAUGCAAAAGGAAGAAAGCCAAUGUACUCAUUCCCAUAAUAGUAGCAGUUAGUGGAUUUGUUAUUUAGUUUGUAGCAUCAGUUAUAUUAUUUAGCAUGAGAAGAAAAGAGAACAAGGUAAAGCUGUAAUAUAUAUAUUACUAACAGUUAAUUGAAAGGUAAACAGAGAAACUGUUUGAUGUGUCAUAUGUAUGCAGUUUUAAUAAUAUAAGAACGUCUUUUUUGUGUCCUCUUAUGAAUUUAAUGACUCUAUUUCCAGAACUUUAAGGACAUAAUUUGUGUCCUAGUAUAGAAAAGAGGACACAUAUGAUAAUUUAUUUUGUGUUCUCUUAUGGAUUUAAGGACUCCAUUUUCAAACUUUUGAGGACACUAGUUGUGUGUCCUAGUAUAGAAAAGAGGACACAUAUAAGAGUGGAUUUUUAUGUCCUCUUAUGGAUUUAAGGACUCCAUUUCUUGAGCUUUUAUGACACAAUUUGUGUGUCCUUGUUUAGAAAAGAGGACACAUAUUAGAUAAUAUGAGGAUGCAAUUUAAGUGUCCUCUUAUGGAUAUAAGGACACCUUGUCCAAAGCUUUUAGGACGCACAAACUGUGUCCUCAUAUAGAAAAGAGGACACAUUUUCAGUGUCCUUGUUUGGGACUUAUGAUGACUCUCGGAUAGAGGACUCUUUAAAAAAGAGUCCUUGUAUGUAUUUAAGGACACUGUUUCAAUGUCCUUAAAUCAUGUUUUUCUAG